rnacentral:rRNA from 1 species
AUGGAGAAACCCAAGAGAUCAAACCAGCCAUCACACAGACGAUUGGAGUCGCUGGACGUCAAGAGGUCGUCUUCCUCGCUCAACAUGUCCACGUCUUCCCUCAGGAGCAUCAACGAGGAGGACAGGGGGCCUGCCGCCGCCCAUUCCGGCAGGAGGCCCACCGUCGUGAGGUUUGCUCCCACCCCUACACCUCCGCGGCCGUCGUCGUCGUCGCCUGCGGAGUCUGCACCGAAGGCGACGAGGAGGAGCUGGGGGUGCACGGGGAGCCCCCGCGAUCAGAAGGAGAGGGAGACCGGUGAUGUGAUCGGCCAGGAAAGGAGCAAGGGGACGGCGGCGACGCUGGUGCGGAGUUCCUCGGUUCCAAGAAGCAGAAAACCGGUAGAGGAGAAACCACUGCAGAAAAGGGAGAGCAAGACCAAUAUCAUCUCCAGGACUAAGCAAAGACCCACUCCAUCUCCGAAACCGGAUAUUCUCCACAAGCCCGGCGCGCAGAGAAGCCCCAGCAUUGCAGCCAAGACGAGCGAGAAGCGACCACCCACUCCCGGCGGUGCAUCGCCGGACGACAUGGUCAAGGUUUCUCCUCCCCGCUCGACAUCGGCGACGACGAUGGGCGCCUCUUGGGAGUCGCUUCCACCGGCCCUCCAGACUCUCGGAUCGGGAGUCAUGAGUUAUAGGGAUGCUGCAGAGAUGGCUGCUGUGGAGGCCAUGCAGGAAGCUUCUGCUGCAGAGAUUGUGCUCAGAUGUCUCAGUGCCUUCGCGGAUUUGGCCGCCACCGCCGGCAAGCAGUCGCCGCAGCAGACCGUCGACGAGUUCCUGGCGCUCCAAGCCGCGAUCGCCCGCUCCACCGCCGCCCUCGGCAACCAGCAACGGAGUGGCCACGCCGGCGAGUGGAUGCACGCGGCGGUCACCGCCGACCUGGCGCCUUUCUCCCUCUACACCGCCCCCUCGUCGUCCAGGAAGCGCGGCACCGAGUCGCCUGCCGUCUCCGCCUCGCCGAGGACGGUGGCCGCCGCGGAGGAGGCCGCCACCUGGCUGGAGACCGCGGCGAGGGAGCUCGGGGAGGAGAUGUGCGCGUGGUUCGUCGGGCACGUGGACCGGCUGCUCGAAGCCGACGUGGCCGGGACGCUGGGGCAGCUCAAGAGGGUCAACGACUGGCUGGACGACGUCGGGCCGCGGACGGACGCCGUCGAGCGGCUGAAGCAGAAGAUCUUCGGGUACCUGCUGGAUCACGUCGAGUCGGCGGUGGUCGCGUUAAACGGCGGCGUUGCUACCAACCGAAGAAUAUGCUGUGCCGGAGCAAAGCUAAAAUGUACGCAAAUGAUAAUGCCACACAUAUGGUAUUAA